AAACUUACCUGGCUGGGGGACUCUGGCGAUCCAUAGUGAGGCCCUCGCACUGCACUUUCGCUUGGGCUGACCUGUGUGGCAGCUUCUCAUUGAGGUUAGCCAACAGCUAAAUUUUUGUGUGUGGGGCUGCGUUCGCGCGGCCUUG
rnacentral:snRNA from 1 species